GCUUUAACGGAAUAUUGCAUCAAAAACUGUUGAACUUGAGUGCAGAAGAGGAGAGUGGAACUCCAUGUGUAGCGGUGGAAUGCGUAGAUAUAUGGAAGAACACCAGUGGCGAAGGCGGCUCUCUGGUCUGCAACUGACGCUGAGGCUCGAAAGCAUGGGUAGCG
rnacentral:rRNA from 1 species